UAGCUUGCUACACCAUAGACUGUGAGUUGCGAACGGGUGAGUAACGCGUAGGGUACCUGCCUAUUAGAGGGGGAUAACUAUUGGAAACGAUAGCUAAUACCGCAUAACAGUAUGUAACACAUGUUAGAUGCUUGAAAGAUGCAAUUGCAUCGCUAGUAGAUGGACCUGCGUUGUAUUAGCUAGUAGGUAGGGUAAUGGCCUACCUAGGCGACGAUACAUAGCCGACCUGAGAGGGUGAUCGGCCACACUGGGACUGAGACACGGCCCAGACUCCUACGGGAGGCAGCAGUAGGGAAUCUUCGGCAAUGGGGGGAACCCUGACCGAGCAACGCCGCGUGAGUGAAGAAGGUUUUCGGACCGUAAAGCUCUGUUGUUAAGGAAGAACGAGUGUGAGAAUGGAAAGUUCAUACUGUGGCGGUACUUAACCAGAAAGGGACGGCUAACUACGUGCCAGCAGCCGCGGUAAUACGUAGGUCCCGAGCGUUGUCCGGAUUUAUUGGGCGUAAAGCGAGCGCAGGCGGUUAGAAAAGUCUGAAGUGAAAGGCAGUGGCUCAACCAUUGUAGGCUUUGGAAACUGUUUAACUUGAGUGCAGAAGGGGAGAGUGGAAUUCCAUGUGUAGCGGUGAAAUGCGUAGAUAUAUGGAGGAACACCGGUGGCG
rnacentral:rRNA from 1 species